UGGGAUGUAGUGUAAUUGUAACACUGCAGAUUCUGGUUCUGCCUUUGGGGGUUCGAAUCCCUCCAUCCCAG
rnacentral:tRNA from 1 species